UACGUAGGGUGCGAGCGUUGUCCGGAAUUAUUGGGCGUAAAGAGCUCGUAGGCGGUCUGUCGCGUCGGUCGUGAAAACUUGGGGCUUAACCCUGAGCUUGCGGUCGAUACGGGCAUGACUGGAGUUCGGCAGGGGAGACUGGAAUUCCUGGUGUAGCGGUGAAAUGCGCAGAUAUCAGGAGGAACACCGGUGGCGAAGGCGGGUCACUGGACCACAACUGACGCUGAGGCGCGAAAGCUAGGGGAGCAAACAGG
rnacentral:rRNA from 1 species